GGAUCCAGACUUUGAUCCUGGCUCAUGAUGAACGCUAGCGGCAGGCUUAACACAUGCAAGUCGAGGGGCAGCGCGGGGCAGCAAUGUUCUGGCGGCGACCGGCGGAAGGGUGCGUAACGCGUGAGCGACAUGCCCGUUGCCCGGGGACAACCGGUGGAAACGCCGACUAAUCCCCGAUGGGACGGAGGCCCUCAUGGGUCUCCGUUGAAAGUUACGGCGGCGACGGAUUGGCUCGCGUCCGAUUAGCUUGUUGGCGGGGUAACGGCCCACCAAGGCUACGAUCGGUAGGGGUUCUGAGAGGAAGGUCCCCCACAAUGGAACUGAGACACGGUCCAUACUCCUACGGGAGGCAGCAGUGAGGAAUAUUGGUCAAUGGGCGGAAGCCUGAACCAGCCAUGCCGCGUGCGGGAAGGAGGCCCUAUGGGCUGUGAACCGCUUUUGCCUGGGGGCAAUAAGGGCGUCGUGCACGUCCGAUGAGAGUACCAGGCGAAUAAGCAUCGGCUAACUCCGUGCCAGCAGCCGCGGUAAUACGGGGGAUGCGAGCGUUAUCCGGAUUCAUUGGGUUUAAAGGGUGCGUAGGCUGUGCGUCAAGUCAGGGGUGAAAUUCCGGGGCUCAACUCCGGGGCUGCCCUUGAUACUGUCGCGCUGGAGUGCGGAUGCCGCCGGAGGAAUGAGUGGUGUAGCGGUGAAAUGCUUAGAUAUCACUCAGAACACCGAUUGCGAAGGCAUCUGGCGAAUCCGUAACUGACGCUGAGGCACGAAAGCGUGGGGAUAGAACAGGAUUAGAUACCCUGGUAUUCCACGCCGUAAACGAUGAUGGCUAACCGCCGGCGACACACUGUCGGUGGCCAAGCGAAAGCGAUAAGCCAUCCACCUGGGGAGUACGUCGGCAACGAUGCAACUCAAAUGAAUUGACGG
rnacentral:rRNA from 1 species